AAUUUAUGAGCCUAUAAACCAUCCAUCAGUCUACUCGAGAUAUAAGAUCUUCAAGCUGAACCGGUAAACCGAUUCGUCACCCACGGAUGUGUACAUUAAUUAUGCAGUUGAAUAACAAAUAUACAUGAAUGCAAACUGGGAUCAGAAUAAAUUCAGGUCAAUGAUUUUAUGUGUAAAAUGGGUAAAUUUCGACAAAAAACCUUUUCACAGUAAAACUACCAUUUCGUUAAAAUAUAUUUUUAACUAUAUUUACACAAUGCAUCCUAUAUUCGCACUUUUUUUUUUUUCUUAAGCUUUAAUGCUUAUUACUUUUCAACAAAAAAAAAUUAUAACUCUAACAUUUUUUAUAAUAUUAUUAAUGGUUUAAAAUAUAAUGAAGUAAAUAUCGAAAUGCAGAGUGUUCAGUAAGUAAGGAAACAAAUCAAUUGUUAUAAACAAUGAGAACAAUAGAAAUCCGUUUUCUUACCUACUGAACAUUCUAUAUAAUUCUAACCGUAACUAGUGUAACGCAUUUAAAAUUUUAACUGAAACUGUUUUUCUUAAUAUAUUAAAAUUGUUCAUAAUUAAUAAUUAUAGUAAUUACUUAUAUA